UACAGAGGUCUCAAGCGUUGUUCGGAUUCAUUGGGCGUAAAGGGUGCGUAGGUGGCGCUGUAAGUCGGGUGUGAAAUUUCGAGGCUUAACUUCGAAACUGCAUUCGAUACUGCCGUGCUAGAGGACUGGAGAGGAGACUGGAAUUUACGGUGUAGCGGUGAAAUGCGUAGAUAUCGUAAGGAAGACCAGUGGCGAAGGCGGGUCUCUGGACAGUUCCUGACGCUGAGGCACGAAGGCCAGGGGAGCAAACGGG
rnacentral:rRNA from 1 species